CAGAAACUUAAAAUGGAUGAUAAGAGUAAAAAACGCCCGGGUGGCGCUGAGAAGCAUCGGGAAAGAAAGCUGAAGUCUCUGGAGGUGGAGGCUGCUCCAUGUGCCCAACUGACGGACCUGUGUGGAGCCGGUUCACCGCCCAGCAGCAGCAGGUGACCCGGGAGACGAGCGAGGAGGACUGGACAUGAGGAGCGAGUGGAGGCAGACAUGGUUGUUGUGAUAUAUUUGAGGAGUCGUUCUCCCUCUGUUUUACAUGUGGACAUUCAGGACCACUGUUAGAAUUUGGUUGACCACUUGACAUGGUGAUCCAUGUUCGAGGACUUGCUCUCUGUCUGCCUCCACUCUCUGCCUUUACUGUACCAAAGUUUGUCUGUUGAGUCUCCUCUAGUCUGGUUGACCACUUGACAUGUGAGAGCCUGAGGAGUUGUUUUCCAGACACAGGUAGAGCUGGCAGGGGCGUCACCCUGGGCCUGUCCUUUUGGGCUGGGCUUCAGCUGCAGAUCUAAAGGCUGCUUCAAGGGGCAUGGGCCUCAGCCUUUUUCUUUGCUUCUGCACCUUACAACAUACAUCAAACCUCAUUUUCACACAUCCAAACACUGUUAACACCACUGACGAUUAACAUAUUUUACACAUCCCACUACGUAGUUAGAGCUAUCUUGAUUUGGAGUUAAAUAAAUUUACU